rnacentral:misc_RNA from 1 species
GUAAACGGGUCGUGGUGUCAACACGAGAAGACAUCUAAUGACAACUGUCACUGCAUUAAAGGGUAUUUUUUGACCAGAAACAGUGACAAUUAUGGACGAACCGAUGGAGGAUAUGCAACCGGAUUCUACACAAGAAAAUCAAUCCUCAGAAACGACACGGAAAGCGUGUGCCCCCCUCUUGAGACCAGGGAGUAUGGUGAUGAUGACACUGACUCCAGAAGAUUAUCAAAAUGAAUACUGGCCGAAGCUGCAAGGCGCCAUUGCUCAACUCCUGACCAUGGACCCAGGCAGUUAUAUCCCCAUAUCAUAUGAACAGAUGUACAGCUGUGUGUACAAGUGUGUUUGUAAGCAGUUCUCAGAGAGGCUGUACUCGGACCUGCUCGCCCUGAUGACGUCGCACGUCCAGAUGCUCAAUACACAACUCGAGGGCAAUAUGGAGGAUUCCAAAAAAUUUAUAGAAUGUUUCUCCUUCACGAUGCACCAGUAUCUUCAAGCUCUGGCUGUCAUUGUCCCCAUCUUUAACUACAUGAAUCGGUUUUAUGUUGAGAACAAGUUAAAGAAGGAUUUGAAUGAAGAAUUACGGCGACUGUUUCGAAUCCAUGUGGCGGACCAUCACAUCAAUACCUUACUGCCUCUGUUGGAGGAAGUUAGCUGCCAACCAUUUGCCAUUGCACCACCUGUGAUGGCUAACCUCAUGAGAAAUCUUCACUCAUUAAACUCAGAGUAUGUGAGAUUAAAACCAGCUUUAUUUGCUAAGUUCAUACCCAGUGUUCUUCCACCGACCUCUGUGGCAGAUUUAGAGAAAUAUAUCGACGAGGUGCAGCAGAUGCAGAGGGAUAUUCACCUACUACCAGACUUCGCACACCAUGAUCAGAGCCGGAAGAGGGGGUGUGAGGAGGACAUAUCUGUCAAUUGACACAAGGUGGGUGCCAUACAAUACACACAAGAAUCCCAAGAUCAAGCAGUAAUUCCCUGUGACCCUUUGGGGUUAAAUGGAACCCCUCCAUGAACAAUUUUGAUGAGGAGACUGGAUAAGUCUGUUACUUCUCAGAGGGGAGUUGUUUGCUUGGAUUUGAACUGUUAUCAUGCAGUAAUUAUAUGCAAACUACAAUCCCCUAAUAAUUCAAGAUAAACGAAGAGAAAAUCCAAGAUGUGAAAGAGACACUGGAGUUUUUGUGUUGCUUCUGUUGGAAGAUGAGGGUCAUGUGUUGUAUCCUUAACCCUUUGGGGUGUAUGAGACUUACCACACCAUCUCUUGUGUUGUAUCCUUAACCCUUUGGGAUGUAUGAGAUUUGCCGCACCAUCUCAUGUGUUGUGUUCUUGACUGGGGCAGAGUUUGGGAUGUAUGAGAUUUACCGUAACCAUCUCAUGUGUUGUGUUCUUGUGUCCUAGGUCAGGGCUUUGAACCCAACUUCACCAGGAUAUGCUGUUCAUAGGUUUGAAUCAAUGUUUGCAAGGAUAUGCCCAUCAUAGGUUUGAACCCAGGUCUGCCAGGAUAUGGCAGUUGUAGGUUUGAACCCAGGUUUGCCAGGAUAUGGCAGUUGUAGGUUUGAACCCAGGUUUGCCAGGAUAUGGCACCUGGAGGUUUGAACCCAGGUCUGCCAGGAUAUGCUGAAUGUAGGUUUGAACCCAGUUCUGCCAGGAUAUGCUGAUUGUAGGUUUGAACCCAGUUCUGCCAGGAUAUGCUGAUUGUAGGUUUGAACCCAGGUCUGCCAGGAUAUGCUGACUGUAGGUUUGGAGCCAGGUCUGCCAGGAUAUGCUGAUUGUAGGUUUGAACCUAGGAUAUGCCGGUAUUUUUUAACCCAGGUUUGCCAGGAUAUGCUAGUAGGUUUGGACCCCUUUUCGCCAGGAUAUGCCAAUGAUAGGUUUGGAGCCAGGUUUGCCAGGAUAUGCCAGUUGUAGUUUUGAACCGGUAGAUGUCAGUUGUAAGUCUGCUCCAGUCCACACCUCUCAUCUAUCUUACUUAUAUUCACGGACGACUUCACCAAACUGGUACAAGGCGAUGACCAGUAUCACAUUGGCUUACCUCACAUCUCACUUAAACUGAUUUGAAUAGAGACCUUAAGGCUACAUUAAACCCAACAGUCUCAUUCUGCAUUAUCUUGAAAACUAUACCAGAUGUAAUUAACACGGCUGGUUGUAACUGUUGCCAAGGUGUUGAUGAAAGCCAGAGAACCUACCAGGUUAGGGAUCGUAACUUUCUGUUGGAGGACAUGUUCUAAUUGGCAAUUUGAGCUGGUUUGGACUGGUGGCUGAGCAUGUCAUGGUUUGUCCGGGAAUGCAGUAUAGUGUGUGUUUCUCAAGUGGAUAACAUUUUGAUGGAAUCUGGAUCAGGGUAUGUUUUGCUGUUGUUUUGGCCCCCAUCUUGGAUUGGGAGUCCUCAUGUACCUUUGAGGAGAAUUGUCAAGCAAGCCCAGUUAACAUGCUACAGGGUAAAAGGGUAAAUUCUUGGUGUUUUUACAUUUACUUGUCACCAUUGGUCACACGUAUAAAUUGCGUGUAAGUAUUUUUGUCUACAGUGUGUGUAGUAAUUGACAUGUUCGAUGCAUAGACAUUUCAUUUUGAUUCAAUGGUUUGAGACUGAAGGUUCAAAUGUGAAGAUACCUUGGCAUGAAAUACUCCCUUUUAGACAUGUAAACAGCAUGUACAUCAGAAUUUAAAGUACAAAAGAAAUUUAUACCUUUGGGCAGCACUUUUUUGUCUUUGAAUUCAAUUGUGCAAAAUAUAUGUCACUUUGACUUGUAUUGUAUGCAUGAUGCCUCAGAAUGAUGCAUGACCUCAUUCAACAAUCAAUGAUGUCUUUGUUCAGUGUCAUAAAACACUUCAUAACAUCAAACAAUGUCAUCGAACAAUGCAUGACAUGGUCUAACAAUGUCUCAAACAAUGCAUGACAUCAUCAAUAAACGAUGUCCUUAAACAGUGUAAUCAAAGCAUGAUGUCAUUGAACAGUGUUGUCAAAGCAUGAUGUAAUUGAACAGUGUUAUCAAGUGAUGUAAGACAUUAAACAAUGUCAAACAAUGCAUGACUUCAUCAAACAAUGAAUAAUGUCAUUGAACAAUGUUAUCAAGUGAUAUUAGACUACAAACAGUGUAAAAGAAUGCAUGGUCAAAAAAUGAUAAGAAACGACCCUUUUGUUUGCUGGGCACUCAUAUGAGCAAAUCAUGUUCCCACUCUCAUGGCAGGGACACUUCAGAAUGUGUGACUCUGCUGCAAGGUUCGGAAUGUGAGACUGCUGCAAGGUUUGGAGAUGCACAUGUCAGUUACUGCUGUGGAGAUACUGCUUGAAUAAUAGCUAAAUAACACCUCAGCAUAAUCAUAUGACAAGGCAAGGCCAGAUUUAAAACUUAAAUUUAUGGAUCCGCCAACAGUUAAACUCACAGUUGAAAAGACGCAGUUCAAGGCAGUCAGCAUAGUCGUUGUUUUAGUUCACAUCCGAUACAAGUCGGCGACAUCAAGACAAGCUACAAUCAGCUGGUCAUGUGUUCAGGUCCCUCAUUUCUGUGGUUUGGUGCCACAAGGGCGUUGUUGUACAAAACAACCUUAGCGCUAUGACAGUCGUUAGUCUAUGUUAAGGUAUGGGCGUUAUUGUCACCUCAGCCCAAAAAUCACUGUGUACAAUGGCACCCAUGGCCAAUGGGUUUCAUCAAAGGAUAUAAGGAUGAAAAAUAUUUGGCCAGAUCCACCCCCAGCAUCCAUGUAUUAUUACAACAAGACAGAACCUGUGUCAUUCUCAGCUCAUAUUUAUCUGGCAACUUGACAUGACGGAAACUCUGAUCAAAGUUACAUAAGCAGAACUCACUCAUUGUUACCACAUAAUGGAAAACUGUUCUUCCCAACAGAAUGAUACCAGGAUGUAAUAAACACCUUGUGUUUGUACUAUAGUGUGUAUAUGUGUGUAAAUAAUGUGCCCAUAUGCUGUAUAUAUACAACUGUAGCUUGUGUAAACAUACCUGUAACCUUGUACAUUAUUGUAGCACAUGUUUACAUUGAGCCGUAGCUGUAGCUCAGGGGAUGUGUAGUAUUAGGUCAAGGUCAUACCCACUAACACCACGUCUACUGGAGUAGCAUAACACGCUAGCUCCACGUCUACUGGAGUAGCAUAACAUGCUAGCUUGUUUACUGAAUAAUAAUUUCAAUACAUUGGAUUUCAUAUUGGUCAGGGUCAGUGGGGUAGCCUAGUGGUUAAAGCGUUCGCUCAUCAUGCCGAAGACCCGGGUUCGAUUCCCUACAUGGAUACAAUGUGUGAAGCCCAUUUAUGGUGUCUCCCCCGUGACAUUGCUAGAAUAUUGCUAAAAGUGGCGUAAAACUAAACUCACUCAUUUUGGUCAAUGAAAAAAUCAGUUCUGUUUAAAAUGCAAUCCUGAUCAACUAAACGUGGCAAAAUAGAAUGACUUCCUGAGUCCUUUACAUGUAAUAGGAAUUUAAUGGUCACAAAGACUGCUGUGUUAAGGAGCUGAGAUAGCAAAAUGGCCUCUCAGCUCUGAAAUGACAUGGAAUAAUUCUGCCAAUUAUCAUCUCAAUAACCCCAUUGGAUUGUCAGCCUAGGGCUGGGUUACCAUGGUUUCUUAACUAAUUUGCAAGUUUACCUUUGUGGCCAUCUUGAACCUGAAAUAGUUCAUCUCGCUCAUGGCUGCCUAGAACUUUCGGACGCAGAUCUAUUCUGAUUUUGAUUUUUUUUACCAAACCUGAUUAUCUAUAUACAUAAAGUUUGAAAUGUGUUUUUCUUUAAAGAAUAUUAGUUUGGUUUGAAUGAUCAUGAAAGACGUUCUAUAUCCCCUUUAGUAAAAUACUGGUGAUGGAAUCAUGAUAUAAAGUUUUGUUGGAGAAAGACAACAGGGUGUUAUGGUUGGUUAUACACUGGAGUACAUCUAGUGAAGGGAUUAUAUCAUUUCUAUUCUUAUUUGGAUCGGUUUUCACUACAAGGAAUGUCCACUAUUUCCGUUCUUCAAUCCCAGUGAGACACUCACUCAUCCCAUGUUAUAUUUGCUGUGUGUAUUCAGUCACUUAAGUGGGAAUAAUGAAUCAUUUUUGUUCUGAAGUUAUACUUUUGUUUCAGUGGAGCAAUAAAUUAGCGUUCUCUUACUGCUUGUUUGCUGUUCAGUGUUACCAAAGUCUGUUUCUGUUAUCAAAUUGUUUCCAAUCCAAAACCCUCCCUGCUUAUUAUUUUAAUGUUUUUCUAUGCCAUUUUCAUUGUUUUAUCAAUCAGUUCUUGAACAAAAUUAGUAAUUCUUGCCUAUAAUUUCCUUGAUCGUUUGCUUUUGUUAAAGUAUGGGCAUUAAAAUGGGGAAAGUCAUGGUGCUGAGAGAAGAUCUACCAAGAGGUCCAAAUUCAUUCUCUUAGUAAGAGAACCAGUACCUUAUGAAUGUCCUGGGCCCCCUUUCCUCAAAGCGACCAUAGCUCUAAGAUGAUCGUAACUCCCAUACUUUAGCAUAGACUUACGACAGUCGUAGCACUCCCAUACUUUAGCAUAGACUGAUCGCUUUGAGGAACGGGACCUUGGACUAUUAUAGCCCAUUUAGUAACACAUAUAUUACACAGCAGCAAUACUUCAUAACUGAAAUAAGGUUACUUUAGAAGCAUCUUAAACAUUUGGUGUCAGUGUUAAGGGGUUUGGGUAUGGGAGAGUGUCAUGGUGUAAAUUCUUCUAUGGGUUUGCCUUAUUUAUAUGUUUACUGAAUCACCAAAUAGUUUUCAGAUAUUAGUACUUGUAUUUCAUGAUACAAUGUUACUGUGUGAGACGAUAUUUUUUACCCUGGGUCUUCAGUUAAAGGGAUGGUUUCUAAGGUAUUUGUAGUCAAUCUGUCACACUUACUGGUAUACAUGUUCUCCAGAAACAAUGACAGUAUGUUGCUUUGUUCAUAGUUUGUGUACAGAAUUGUCAAUAUACAAGUUGUUAUUCUUUGCAACAUGAUAUUAAAUGACUUAAAUAUU